AAAGUCGUAACAAGGUAACCGUAGGUGAACCUGCGGUUGGAUCAUUAAAAAUAUCUCGAGUUGCGAAAGUGGCAUUCAUAAAUGAGAGCUGCAGGACAGUCGGCCUUAUAGUAACGCCCGCAGUGUUACUUUAAGUCUUUGGGUAAUGCCGUUAGUAUUCCCUUAGUUAUGCUGGUGCAGCAGCUCUCUGAUGCCAAUCUGAGAGAAACAUUUUGUGAAACGUUCAACGUCUCUGGCGGGGGGGUAGUGAAAAACUACUUGUCAGCAUGGUGCGUAUGCAUUCUGUGCCGUGGACAUCCCGCCAACCCCUUUUUUGACCUACUUUGUAUUUUUGAUGCCUGACAUUUACUGUAUGAAAUAUACAAAACAACUUUUGGCAACGGAUCUCUUGGCUCUC
rnacentral:misc_RNA from 1 species